rnacentral:rRNA from 1 species
CCUGAGAAACCCAAAAGAUCGAAUGGGGAGAUUCAUCGUCAGCGGUACUGGUACGUGUGCGGUUCGCGAUGCCGGGGACUUCGGUCUCGUGGCACGCGUCCGCAUGUUUUUUUAUUGCCUGGUAUCGUCGGCGUGCACUUCUCCCCUAGUAGGACGUCGCGACCCGUUGGGUGUCGGUCUACGGCCCGGGUGGGUGCCUGUCUCGUGUGCGUCUUACGGCGUCACUGCGGGGCAGACCCCCGGCUGCCCGACCGGCUGCUCGGCGGUACUCGCAAGGUAUCUGGCCGCAAAUAUUCGAACUGCGUCCGGCCCGUCGCAAGCGAGGCAAGUGCUUCCCGAAUGUACGGAUCUAAUGCCGUCAUCGGGCCUGGCCAGCUGUUGGUUGACGGUGUCCUAGGACAGGCUAUAACAAUUAUGAUACCGGUCAGCGACGCUACUGCUUUGGUA